GGAGGUGCCCUUCUGAGCAUCCGGGUUCUCCCUUGCUAGAAGUCUUCCACCUACGAAGAUGUCGCCCUGGGGCCCCUGUUUCUCCGAAGACCGUCCCGAUCGAGGCAGCGAACACAUUCUUGGAACCACCACCUGGAUGAAGAAAUGGAACCUUACCGUGCUUCCUACCUCCUACUGACUCCCACCGAACGUCCCCCAAAGGAGUGUGCAGCUCUCGCUGCAGAGCUCCACACCUGCAGGGAGCAGCUCGUGCAGAGAGAGGAGGAGAUCGCCAACCUGAAGGCGGAGAGAAACAACACCAGGGUCAGUAGGUGCACUGCCA